rnacentral:rRNA from 1 species
UUCUACGGCCAUGCCACCCUGAACACGCCUGAUCUCGUCGGAUCUUGGAAGCUAAGCAGGGUUGGCCCUGGUUAGUCCUUGGAUGGGAGACCACCUAGUAAGACUGGGUGCUAUAGGCG